UAAACUCGAAGAAGCACUUGUAGAUGAGAAUGAUAAUCUAGUUUAUCCUCCAAGGUAGAUAAAACCUAUAAUAUUGAACAAUCCAUUUUCCGAUAUUAUACCAAGAAUAAUAGUACAGGAAGGUGAAGAAGUAAAAGACAGUUCAGAAACUCAUACAGCAGGAGUAAAACAUUUCAAUCUUCUAUCAUUUCGUGAAAGGGCAGAGAAAGAUGUAGAAGAAUCCGUGAUAUUAAAUAAGAAGUUUAGUGGUAAGGGCAAAUCAACUCAUGAUCAUUCAACUGAU